CAGUACCGUGAGGGAAAGGUGAAAAGCACCCCGGGAGGGGAGUGAAACAGUACCUGAAACCGUGCGCCCGCAAGGCGUCGGAGCCGGCUCGUUCCGGUGACGGCGUGCCUUUUGUAGAAUGAGCCAGCGAGUUGCUGGCACGCGGCGAGGUUAAGCUAUGGAAGCGAGCCGGAGCGAAAGCGAGUCCGAAACGGGCGACAUGAGUCGCGUGCCGCAGACGCGAAGCCGGGUGAGCUAUCCCUGGGCAGGCUGAAGCGGGGGUAAGACCCCGUGGAGGGCCGAACGGACGUACGUUGAAAAGUGCGCCGAUGACCUGGGGAUAGGGGUGAAAGGCCUAUCAAACCCGGAGAUAUCUCGUUCUCCCCGAAAUAGCUUUAGGGCUAGCGUCGCGCGUUAACCGCCGGAGGUAGAGCACCGGAUCGAUGAGGGGGCUUCGCCGCCUACCGAUUCGAACCGAACUCCGAAUGCCGGUCGGUCCAGAGCGCGGCAGUCAGAGCAUGUGGGCUAAGCUGUGUGCUCGAGAGGGAAACAGCCCAGACCGCCCGCUAAGGCCCCCAAUUCUCAGUUAAGUGGCAAAGGAUGUGCGUCCGCGCAGACAACCAGGAGGUUGGCUUAGAAGCAGCCACCCCUUCAAAGAGUGCGUAACAGCUCACUGGUCGAGUGGACAUGCGCCGACAAUACACGGGGCUAAACUGAGAGCCGAAGCGGCGGCAACGAUCAUUCGUUGGGUAGGGGAGCGUCCCCAGCGGGGCGAAGCCGGAGGGUCACCGACGGUGGACUGCUGGGGAGUGAGAAUGCUGGCAUGAGUAGCGAGAGACGAGAGAGUAACUCGUCCGCCGUAAACCCGAGGUUUCCUGGGCGAGGCUAAUCCUCCCAGGGUCAGUCGGGGGCUAAGCCGAGGGCGGAGGCCGUAGGCGAAGCGCAGCAGGUGGACAUUCCUGCACCGGAGAUGCACCGUCACGACCGACGGGGCGACGGAUUGGGGUGGCUCGGCGGGGUUCUGGACGUCCCCGUGAUGGAGCGCGGCCCGGAGACCAGGCAAAUCCGGUCUCCACGGAGGGCGAGGCUCCGGACGAAGCGACUGAGCGAAGCGAGUGAGCCCGUGGUCCCCAGAAAAACCCCUAGGCAGGGGCAUCUCCGCCCGUACCGCAAACCGACACAGGUGGGUGGGUAGAACAUACCGAGGCGAUCGGGUCAACCAUGGUCAAGGAACUCGGCAAAAUGGCCCCGUAACUUCGGGAGAAGGGGCGCCGGCGCGUACGUGGACCCACUCGCUGGGCGAGCGGAGGCCGGCCGCAGUGAAGAGGCCCAAUCGACUGUUUACCAAAAACACAGGACUCUGCAGAAGGCGAGAGCCGACGUAUAGGGUCUGACGCCUGCCCGGUGCCGGAAGGUCACGCGGAGGGGUUAGCCGCGAGGCGAAGCCCCGAAGCCAAGCCCCGGUAAACGGCGGCCGUAACUAUAACGGUCCUAAGGUAGCGAAAUUCCUUGUCGGGUAAGUUCCGACCUGCACGAAAGGCGCAACGAAUUGGGCGCUGUCUCGACCAUGGACCCGGUGAAAUUCCACUAGUCGUGAAGAUGCGACUUACCCGCGGAAGGACGGAAAGACCCCGUGAACCUUCACUGCAGCUUGGCAUUGGCCGCUGGCCCGUCGCGUAGAGGAUAGGCGGGAGGCUUCGAAGCCCGGGCGCCAGCCCGGGUGGAGCCGACCUUGGAAUACCGCCCUCGGCGCGCCGGCGUCCUAACCCCGGGCCGUGAUCCGGCCGGGGGACCGUGCCAGGUGGGUAGUUUGACUGGGGCGGUCGCCUCCCAAAGGGUAACGGAGGCGCGCGAAGGUCCGCUCGGGACGGUCGGCAACCGUCCUCAAUGAGUGCAAGAGCGUAAGCGGGCUUGACUGCGAGGCAGACACGCCGAGCAGGUGCGAAAGCAGGCUCUAGUGAUCCGGCGGCCCCGCGUGGGUGGGCCGUCGCUCAACGGAUAAAAGGUACUCCGGGGAUAACAGGCUGAUCUUGCCCAAGAGUCCACAUCGACGGCAAGGUUUGGCACCUCGAUGUCGGCUCAUCGCAUCCUGGGGCUGGAGCAGGUCCCAAGGGUACGGCUGUUCGCCGUUUAAAGCGGUACGCGAGCUGGGUUCAGAACGUCGUGAGACAGUUCGGUCCCUAUCCUCCGCGGGCGCAGGAGAAUCGAGGGAGGCUGCCCCUAGUACGAGAGGACCGGGGUGGACGCACCUCUGGUGAACCGGUUGUCGACCAACGGCACGGCCGGGUAGCCACGUGCGGCGCGGAUAACCGCUGAAGGCAUCUAAGCGGGAAGCCGUUCCCGAGAUCAGUUCU
rnacentral:rRNA from 1 species